UGUGUUGUACUUCAGAUUCCCUUGGUUUGGGAGAGGGUUAAUCCCAUACGCCGAGAUAGACUUUGACCUGUGUAUGGAAGAGAAGUGGCCACUGCUAUGCAAAUUAGAGGAAAAGAAUCACAGGAACUGUCCUCCUCGGGGUAAAGAAAGACCACCCACGCAUGGUGUGGCCAUUGCAAGAUUUUAAAUACUCCAAAAAGAAUGAACAGCAAAGUCAUCCUAUCCUGAUAUCCUUACUGGAAUUGGAUUUGCAGAAUCUGAGUUUGUUUUCAUCUAUUACACUGACAAGACAUAACAACCUUGGGCAAGAGAUCAGGAGAACUUCACCAAUGGAGAGAAGGAAAAUCAAAGUGACCCUGUCCUUCAGCAAACAGGAGGAAGAGUUUCUCAGUGAAUAA
rnacentral:lncRNA from 1 species